ACCAUGUAGCUACGGCCAGGGACAGAUGCACUGGAACCUUGCUGGUAAACCACGAGCCUCAUGCAGGCCAAAGGAAGACAUGCCAUCGUACGGGGAUGGACAGUCAUCCCGAGGAAGAAAGAAACGCUUCUGGUCCAAAACAGCUGAGACUCCAAGACUAGAGCAGCUCUUAGAGAAGAAGAGAUUUGAUUGAGACUUGUUUAUCAUUUCCAAGGGUUUAGCCCAUUAUCAGCAUGGUGGCGAAGGCGGCAGCAAGCAACAUCUACGUCCAAAUCUACAGGUGACAGGAAGAGCAAAUGACACUGGGCCUGCUUUGAGCUCCAAGUCCACUCUCAGUGACACACUUCCUCCAAUAUGUUCACACCUCCCAAUCCUUUGAAUCCUUUCGAAUAGUGGCACUCCCUGGUGACUAAGCAUUUGGCUGUGUGAGCCUACCGGGCGGGGGGAGGGGCUGUUCUCAUUCAGAUCGCCACUCUUCCUCCCCAUGUCCUAUCUUUAGGCCCUGUCCCCAUUCCUAAGUAGCAGACGUUGCUCUCAUGGUAAAAAAGAGGCAGGGCCUAGAGCCCAUAGGCACUGAGUUAAAAAUCAGGAAGGAAUCGACUGAGAUGUUUGGCGAGCCCCCCUCUACCCCAUAACUUCAACUUCUUCAGCAAUAAAAGCAGUUAACAAUG